rnacentral:rRNA from 1 species
GAUCCUGGCUCAGGAUUAACGCUGGCGGCGUGCCUAAUACAUGCAAGUCGAAUGGUAGCAAUACCAUGGCGAACGGGUGAGUAACACGUAGGUAACCUGUCUUUAAGCCGAGGAUAACCAUUGGAAACGAUGGAUAAUACUGGAUAGGACAUUUGAAGGCAUCUUUAGAUGUUUAAAGAUUUAUCACUUAGAGAGGGGCCUGCGGCGCAUUAGCUAGUUGGUGAGGUGAAGGCUUACCAAGGCGAUGAUGCGUAGCCGGACUGAGAGGUUGAACGGCCACAAUGGAACUGAGAACGGUCCAUACUCCUACGGGAGGCAGCAGUAGGGAAUUUUCGGCAAUGGGCGGAAGCCUGAACCCGAGCAACGCCGCGUGAACGAAGAAGUAUUUCGGUAUGUAAAGUUCUUUUAAGAGGGAAGAAUGGCCCGUGGAAAAGCGGGCGUGACGGUACCUUUUGAAUAAGCCCCGGCUAACUAUGUGCCAGCAGCCGC